rnacentral:misc_RNA from 1 species
CGCACCUUGUGCUCCCUGGUAUUCCGGGGAGCAUGCCUGUUUGAGUGUCAUGAACUCUUCAACCCACCAGUUUCUAGUGAACUGUUGUGGUGUUUGGAUUUUGAGCGUUGCUAGUCUGACUAGCUCGUUCGUAAUAUAUUAGCAUCUCUAAUUCGAAUUCGGAUUGACUCAGUGUAAUAGACUAUUCGCUGAGGACACUUUUAUUAGUGGCCGGACUAGAAACCAGUAGAAGCUUCCAACUAUUGUAGUCAUUUCUAUUUUAGACCUCAAAUCAGGUAGGAUUACCCGCUGAACUUAA